rnacentral:rRNA from 1 species
GCUAAUACCGCAUAAGUCCUACGGGGGAAAGCGGGGGAUCGCAAGACCUCGCGCCGGUGGAUGAGCCGAAAUCGGAUUAGCUAGUUGGUAGGGUAACGGCCUACCAAGGCGACGAUCCGUAGCUGGUCUGAGAGGACGACCAGCCACACUGGGACUGAGACACGGCCCAGACUCCUACGGGAGGCAGCAGUGGGGAAUAUUGGACAAUGGGGGAAACCCUGAUCCAGCGACGCCGCGUGUGUGAAGAAGGCCUUCGGGUUGUAAAGCACUUUUAGUGGGGAUGAAAAGCUCAGGGCUAACACCUCUGGGUCUUGACCUAACCCACAGAAAAAGCACCGGCUAACUCUGUGCCAGCAGCCGCGGUAAUACAGAGGGUGCGAGCGUUAAUCGGAAUUACUGGGCGUAAAGCGUGCGUAGACGGUUAUGUAAGUCGGGUGUGAAAGCCCCGGGCUCAACCUGGGAAUUGCAUUCGAGACUGCAUAGCUAGGGUGCGGAAGAGGGAAGCGGAAUUUCCGGUGUAGCGGUGAAAUGCGUAGAUAU